UUGCUAUGAGGAAGAUGUAUAUGCUCCAGAAACAUGAUUUAAUCAUGUCUGUGUUGGUAGCAAUACCUCUAAGAAGUUCUGAGCUA